GCGGGUCCAGCAAUGGAUGCCGGCGAGUGGCGCACGGGUGCGUAACACGUAUGCAAUCUACCUUUAACUGGGGGAUAGCCCCGAGAAAUCGGGAUUAAUACCCCAUAACAUUAUGGUGUGGCAUCACACUAUAAUUAAAGCUCCGGCGGUUUUAGAUGAGCAUGCGCGACAUUAGCUAGUUGGUGAGGUAACGGCUCACCAAGGCUUCGAUGUCUAGGGGUUCUGAGAGGAUUCACCCCCACACUGGUACUGAGACACGGACCAGACUCCUACGGGAGGCAGCAGUAAGGAAUAUUGGUCAAUGGACGCAAGUCUGAACCAGCCAUGCCGCGUGAAGGAAGACGGCCCUACGGGUUGUAAACUUCUUUUGUACAGGAAAAAACCACCGGUCGUGAACCGGUGCUGAUGGUACUGUAAGAAUAAGCAUCGGCUAACUCCGUGCCAGCAGCCGCGGUAAUACGGAGGAUGCAAGCGUUAUCCGGAUUCAUUGGGUUUAAAGGGUGCGCAGGCGGAAUGAUAAGUCAGUGGUGAAAUCCUACGGCUCAACUGUAGAACUGCCAUUGAUACUGUUGUUCUUGAGUACACUUGGAGUGGGCGGAAUGUGUCAUGUAGCGGUGAAAUGCUUAGAUAUGACACAGAACACCGAUCGCGAAGGCAGCUCACUAAGUUGUAACUGACGCUCAGGCACGAAAGCGUGGGGAUCAAACAGGAUUAGAUACCCUGGUAGUCCACGCUGUAAACGAUGAUCACUCGAUGUUGGCGAUAUACUGUCAGCGUCUAAGCGAAAGCAUUAAGUGAUCCACCUGGGGAGUACG
rnacentral:rRNA from 1 species